rnacentral:rRNA from 1 species
AGCGAACGCUGGCGGCAGGCCUAACACAUGCAAGUCGAACGAACCUUUCGGGGUUAGUGGCGGACGGGUGAGUAACACGUGGGAACGUGCCUUUAGGUUCGGAAUAACUCAGGGAAACUUGUGCUAAUACCGAAUGUGCCCUUCGGGGGAAAGAUUUAUCGCCUUUAGAGCGGCCCGCGUCUGAUUAGCUAGUUGGUUGAGGUAAUGGCUCACCAAGGCGACGAUCAGUAGCUGGUCUGAGAGGAUGAUCAGCCACAUUGGGACUGAGACACGGCCCAAACUCCUACGGGAGGCAGCAGUGGGGAAUCUUGCGCAAUGGGCGAAAGCCUGACGCAGCCAUGCCGCGUGAAUGAUGAAGGUCUUAGGAUUGUAAAAUUCUUUCAACGGGGACGAUAAUGACGGUACCCGGAGAAGAAGCCCAGGCUAACUUCGUG